UUCAAAAUUUGAAUGGUCUUGGUGAUAUUUGAAACUCGCCAGGGGUAGAUUCUUCACGAGGAGAAUAGCGAGACUGUAUAUUACCAAAUUGGUAAAUUUCAGAGAACUUAGGGUUUCCGGCCAACCUUUGAUUUAAUAUUCGAGACAUUCAACUGAUAUUUGAGGGAAAAUGAUUCUGGAUCUGGGUUGAGGGAGUUGAGGAAAUUCAGUGGUGUAAAUUUGGUCGGAUUUGGACAACGUUGUGUCUUGGCCAGAAUAUUUCGAUUCAAGAUUCGAGGGCCUAGGGAGGGAUUCGAGAAAAACUAAGUUGGGGGUUGGAAAGAGGAGAGAGAGAGGGUUCUAGGGUAUUAUUUU
rnacentral:lncRNA from 1 species